rfam:Triticum aestivum genome assembly, contig: Triticum_aestivum_CS42_TGACv1_scaffold_500521_6BL
GAGAUGCUCCCUCUGUCUCAAAAUUCUUGUCUUAGAUUUGUCCAAAUAUGGAUGUAUCAAGUCACAUUUUAGUAUUAGGUACAUCCGUAUCUAGAGAAAUGUAAGACAAGAAUUUUGGGACGGAGGGAGUACAUG